rnacentral:rRNA from 1 species
AAUAUUGGACAAUGGGCGAAAGCCUGACCCAGCCAUGCCGCGUGUGUGAAGAAGGUCUUCGGAUUGUAAAGCACUUUAAGUUGGGAGGAAGGGCAACAAGUUAAUAUCCUGCUGUUUUGACGUUACCGACAGAAUAAGCACCGGUUAACUUCGUGCCACCAGCCGCGGUAAUACGAAGGGUGCAAGCGUUAAUCGGAAUUAUCGGGCGUAAAGGGCGCGUAGGUGGUUUGUUAAUGUGGAAGGGAAAGCCCCGGGCUCGACCUGGGAACUGCUUUCAAAACUGGCAAGCUAGAGUAUAGCAGAGGGUGGUGGAAUUUCCUGUGUAGCGGUGAAAUGCGUAGAUAUAGGAAGGAACACCAGUGGCGAAGGCGACCACCUGGGCUAAUACUGACACUGAGGUGCGAAAGCGUGGGGAGCAAACA